GAUGAACGCUAGCUACAGGCUUAACACAUGCAAGUCGAGGGACCGGCGCACGGGUGAGUAACACGUAUCCAACCUGCCCUUUACUCGGUGAUAGCCUUUCGAAAGAAAGAUUAAUACCCGAUAUAAAGGAUUGGGAUGCGUUCCAUUAUGUUGGUGGUGAGGUAACGGCCCACCAAGCCUUCGAUGGAUAGGGGGUCUGAGAGGAAGGUCCCCCACAUUGGAACUGAGGCACGGUCCAAACGCCUACGGGAGGCAGCAGUGAGGAAUACUGGUCAAUGGGCGCUAGCCUGAACCAGCCAAGUAGCGUGAAGGAUGAAGGCUUAUGGGUCGUAAACUUCUUUUAUAUAAGAAUAUGUAUUAUAUGAAUAAGGAUCGGCUAACUCCGUGCCAGCAGCCGCGGUAAUUC
rnacentral:rRNA from 1 species